rnacentral:rRNA from 1 species
GAUGAACGCUGGCGGCGUGCUUAACACAUGCAAGUCGAACGGAAAGGCCCAAGCUUGCUUGGGUACUCGAGUGGCGAACGGGUGAGUAACACGUGGGUGAUCUGCCCUGCACUUCGGGAGAAGCCUGGGAAACUGGGUGUAAUAGCGGAUAGGACGAUGGUUUGGAUGCCAUUGUGGAAAGGUUUUUCGGUGUGGGACGAGCUCGCGGCCUAUCAGCUGGUGGGUGGGGGAAUGGCCUACCAAGGCGUCGGCGGGUAGGCGGCCUGAGGGGGUGUACGGCGACAUUGGGACUGGGAUACGGCCCAGACUCCUACGGGCGGCAGCAGUGGGGAAUAUUGCACAAUGGGCGCAAGCCUGAUGCAGCGACGACGCGUGGGGGAUGACGGCCUUCGGGUUGUAAGCUCCUUUCGCUAGGGACGAAGCGUUUUUGUGACGGUACCUGGAGAAGAAGCACCGGCUAACUACGUG